CGCCGGAGGUUCGGCCGGAUUUUGGCUUAGUGGCGGAACUUGGGCAGCCCUACGGGAGGCCUAAAGUAGUAGUGGUUGAGCUAGUUGGGUUGGGAGAGAGCUUGGUUGGUUGAACUAAGCUUAUAUAACUAAAACCUUGUAUAUAUAUAAAUAUAUAUGUAUAAGAAAAGAGGUUUUAGAGAAGAAGUAUUUGUAGAGAGUGUUUGCAGAGAUGAAAGAGAGAAUACUUCUAAAAUUCCCAGCAACUAAUUAG
rnacentral:lncRNA from 1 species